GCUACCGUCGGCACUGGAGGGGAAGCCUGGGGAGAGGGGAACUGGCUAAAGGGCAAAAUGUCACUGAGGAACUUCGGAGAAGAUGGGGACAAGGCGUCGGGCGGGGGAGCCAGCGCUCAGGUGAGAACUAGGAAGGGGGCGGCGCCCAGGGACCGGCUCCAGGCGGCGGCGGGCGGGGAGCUGCCAGGAGGUGGGUGUGCGUAUCUGGGUGUGUCCCGGCUGCGGUGGGGGAGGGGGCCGCCCUUCCCGGGGUCCUGAGGGAGGGGCCCCGCGAGGGGGCGGGUCCGGCAGAUCAGCCCGGCCGGGGGCCAAGGGGGUGGAAGGUCGCCCGGUGCCUGGAGGCGGGGUGAAGGAAAGUAGCUGAGCGCCCCAGGAGCGCGCUGCGGCGGAGGGCGGGCGAGGUGACCCCGGUGCAGGGAAGUGGCACUGGGGUGUGGGGCCCGAGUCCAGUCAAGGAGCAGCACCUACCUCCGGGGGUGGAAAUGGGCCGGAAUGGGCCGGAACACCGUCCCGGAAGUGAAAUCCCCCACCCCCUCCCACGGAGCGGGCGACGUGCCGGAAGGAAAUCACUCAGCCUUACACCGCCCCCCCUUCCCCCAUCCCCAGAGCUUUCCUUGCCUCGCGCCCCCUCCCCUCUCUGCUCUUCCUCCUCAGUCGGGAGGAGGGCGGGAGCACGGCAUCACGUGGACGGUCAUGUCUCUGCCCACAAUGGCGAGGAAGGGCGGGGAAAAGGGGCGGACUUAAGGGGUGGGAAGAAGGUGAUACUGGAUGAGAGGAAGAUUGAGGGAGGUUAGGGGGAGGAGCCGAAGCGGACGCUGCCGGGAGCGUGCGUCGUGACGUCAUCAAAAGAACUCUUAUAUACAGGAGCCCAGGCACCAUACUGUCUUUUCGAGGUAGGAGUCGACUCCUGUGAGGUAUGUUUUAUCUUUGCGAAUGUUGCGGGUUUUGGGGCGCUCCAGCCUUUGUCUGCUAAGGUCACCCUGAAUUGACUGGGACUUCUAAGCCAGUCGCGCGCCUUUGCAGGGCCUACAAGUUGAGGAUGGUGGGGGAUUGCACAUAUGGUGCAUGCGUGACCUAAGCUGCGACUAUGUUAGAGUAGAACUGCGGAGAAGCCUCGGCUCUCGUGCCCUGCCUCUGAUGAAGCCUGUGUUGGUAGGGACAUCUGAGAGUAAUGAUGAAUGCCAACCGCUCUGAUGGUGGCACAUGCCGAGUCACCCGAGUAAGCUAUUGUUAAGGGCCGUGACCCGAGCCUCCAUCAGCCGUCCGCUCUCAUGAAAGGCUGUCGGUGGUAGUCCACGUGCUUAAGUGCCUGCAUUCCGCAGUGUCACCAAUAUUUCCAUUAGUGUUUCUUUUUUCUUUUUUGAGACCGAGCCUCGUUCUGUCACCCAGGCUGGAAUGCAGUGGCUCGACAUCGGUUAAUGGCAACCUCCGCGUCCCGAGUUAAGCAGUUCUGCCUCAGCCUCCCAAGUAACUGGGACUACAGGCGCGCGCCACCAUGCUAGGCUUUUAUAUUUUUAGUAGAGACGGGGUUUCACCAUGUUGGCGAGACUGGUCUUGAACUCCUGACCUCAGGUGAUCCACCAGCCGUGGUCCCCCAACAUACUGGGAUUACAAGCCGUGAGCCACCGCGCCCGGCCGCCAUCGGUGGUUCUUAACUGCGGGUGCAGUGCUUCUUUGUAACAUUAAGUGUAUCCUUUACCUGUCGCUAGAUAAUGAAUGGUAUGUUACCUGCAUCAUUGGUUUAAAAAGACGAACCGUUUUUUUAAAGAACACUCUUUAAAAAAAAGAACCGUGGAACAAUGAAUUAAAAUCUGUACCUGAUCUCUUUAGGUAUGGUGCUGGGUGCAGAUGCAGUGUGGCUCUGGAUAGCACCUUAUGGACAGUUGUGUCCCCAAGGAAGGAUGAGAAUAGCUACUGAAGUCCUAAAGAGCAAGCCUAACUCAAGCCAUUGGCACACAGGCAUUAGACAGAAAGCUGGAAGUUGAAAUGGUGGAGUCCAACUUGCCUGGACCAGCUUAAUGGUUCUGCUCCUGGUAACGUUUUUAUCCAUGGAUGACUUGCUUGGGUAUGGAGAGUCGGCUUGACUACACUGUGUGGAGCAAGUUUUAAAGAAGCAAAGGACUCAGAAUUCAUGAUUGAAGAAAUGCAGGCAGACCUGUUAUCCUAAACUAGGGUUUUUAAUGACCACAACAAGCAAGCAUGCAGCUUACUGCUUGAAAGGGUCUUGCCUCACCCAAGCUAGAGUGCAGUGGCCUUUGAAGCUUACUACAGCCUCAAACUUCUGGGCUCAAGUGAUCCUCAGCCUCCCAGUGGUCUUUGUAGACUGCCUGAUGGAGUCUCAUGGCACAAGAAGAUUAAAACAGUGUCUCCAAUUUUAAUAAAUUUUUGCAAUCCAUCUGGAGUGUGUAGUGU
rnacentral:lncRNA from 1 species